UGGUUGGUUGGUUAGUUGGUUGAUUAAUUGAUUGAUUCUUAAGUGUUUUUUUUUUUCUUGCGUCCUUGUAUCACAGGAAGUUUGUGUACGAAAUGAUUCUCCUUGUGGAUCCACUAUUGGACCAAUACUCUCCGCCAAGCUUGGUCUUUUGACUUUAGAUAUCGGUGGCCCACAGCUCGCUAUGCAUUCCAUCCGUGAGAUGUGCUGCUCAUCCAUUAUUCACCAAGAGACUCAACUUUUCAAGAAUUACUUCGAGACACUUUCAUCAGUGCUAGAGUCCGUUGCAGGAGCUGACUAAAAUCAAACGAGUGUCACUGCUUGAGUUUAGUCACGGUUACUUUGACGACGUUAAAACGGUGUCGCAGCUCUCCCAGCAAUCUUGAUCUCUCUUUCUCUUUCUUUCUAUGUUUAUGUUUUUGUUCAUCGAUAGAAAGUUUAACAGUAAGAAGAGACAGGUUUUUUUGUGUCAAAUUAUCUCUCUCACGGUCUAGUAAUUUAUCCUUGAACAAACGAGAAAGACCAUGUUUGACCACAUUUCCAAACACCGAAGAAAGAGUUGAAAAUAAGACGCGCAGCGGGGUAUUUU